UCGCAUCCGCCAAACGGUAAAGCCGUGCAGCGGAAGGUUAAUCAACCCACAGCUUUAACCAGCUCAAUUUCCCUCAGGGAAAUGAAAGUCAGCG
rfam:Comamonadaceae bacterium CG1_02_60_18 cg1_0.2_scaffold_583_c, whole genome shotgun sequence.